GACAGAGGUGCCGAGCGUUAGGCGGAAUCACUGGGCUUAAAGCGUGUGUAGGCGGGCCGUUAAGUGUAUUGUGAAAUCCCCCGGCUCAACCGGGGAAUUGCUGGGCAUACUGGCGGUCUUGAGCAAUCUAGGGGCAGAUGGAACAAGUGGUGGAGCGGUGAAAUGCGUAGAGAUCGGAAAGAACACCAACGGCGAAAGCACUCUGCUGGGCCGACACUGACACUGAGAGACGAAAGCUAGGGGAGCGAAUGGG
rnacentral:rRNA from 1 species